UCCCGAGGGGCUUCGGGACGCCGCACAAGGAUAGGCCCAGGCCGCGUGGCCACCGUGGCGUUUCCUCCCCCGGGCCCCACCCGACCCGGGAUGAAGCCACGGGGCAGCGAAAUGUGGAGGAGGAUCUGGGCCUGGCGCUUCUCCUUUCAAGAGUGCUUGUCUUCCUAAGAGGUGCCCUUAGGAGUUGGACGGAGUGUUGAGUAGAGAUGCCUCUUCUCCUGGGCACGCCCCCUCCCUGCCUCCUUCACAGAACAGUCCGAUUGGUUUCCAGUUUGAUAUUUAUUCUACAGAAAUGCAUACAACACAACUUUGGAUAGGCUUGGUUGCUGGUAUCCUUUCAUAAUGUUCUCUGUGAAAAUAAAGAAGAAAACUCCUUGCUUUACUGGAUGGAAGAUACAACAGUACAUUGGACAUGGUCAAUAUGAUCCAUGAAAAGGAGAUGUUGAAAUUAGGGAUGUGUACUAGUACCAAAAUUUUGAUUUGGAAUUACAGCCUUUCAAGAUUUGGAAUAUGGAAUUUUAAAAAUGCAAAAUUCCCAGAAACAAGUUGCCUGCAUAUAUAAAUGAAAUAAGCCAGUUGCUGAAUAUUCUAAAGACAUGUCUCUGUAUUUUGCUUUCUACUGGGAAUCUGACCAAGGAAUCUGACCAAGGCCGCUCAACCGACAAACAAUGCUUCUGCUGAAAUUUAAAUGCAGGUGUCAGAAGGAAGGAACCAAGCAUUCAGCAUCUUCCACUUGCUUUCUCUGAAUUGUGAUGCUUCUGUGCUGUGUGGGAACAAAUCCUGUAAGAAAUGCUGAACAGUACUCUCUGUUGAUACAAAGAAGAGAGCUAUGCCGCAGUCACAAACAAGUGCUUGCUAUUGAUCCACACAUGGCCUUGCAAUCAAGGACAUAAAUACAAUAAUUUUAGGAUGCAAUCCUGUACGUGGGGAUAAACCUUAUUCAAUUCAGUUGGACAUCUCUAAGUAGACAUGUACAGGGUUUUUCUGUUAGGUCUAUAUCAAGGCAGUGUCUACUGAGUGACUAACUCACCCAUAGCCAUUAAUCCUGCCAAGUUGCUCAGAGUUUAAUUGAAUGUGUUCAGUGUUCACUUAUAAUUGCUCUUUGCUUGUGCACAACACAAGGGUGGACAUGUUCAUCAAAUUUGGAGACCCAUCCUUUGGUGCCUACCUCAGGUACCCACCAUCUUCCAAUUGUUGCACAGUAAAAAAAAAAUACCAAGGU